UCUUCCUUGUGCUGCCUACAUCCUGGCCACAGUCCCUGUCAACAGGAGAGGAAGGAAACAAAGCCAGCACAAACAGUCGAACCCAGGUGGAGAGCUAAUGCCCAAUGCCAAGUGUGAAGUUGAGGGGCUUCGGGACGUGAUUCGCAGCCAAAGUGAAAGGAGCACACGGACUCUUCUCCCGAGUAGUAACGGCAUGCCUGCCUCGUUAAGAUGAUCUUCUCAGGUCACUGGGCUUGGAACCAGGGUUGCAGCAUACGUGAGUACAUACCUGUGAAGCAGCUCCCCAGAAAGGGACACUGCAACCUUGGGACUAGUGCUUCAGAGUUCUGUAAACCUGCCCCAGUUUAAGGCAGUGCUGGAACCAUGGCCUAAAGCUUUGGGGUGAUCUGUUAUGUA